CAAUAGCGUAUAUUUAAGUUGUUGCAGUUAAAAAGCUCGUAGUUGGAUUUCGGAUGGGACUUGCCGGUCCGUCGUUUCGAUGUGCACUGGCCAGUCCUAUCUUGUUGUCGGGGACUAGCUCCUGGGCUUCACUGUCCGGGACUAGGAGCUGACGAGGUUACUUUGAGUAAAUUAGAGUGUUCAAAGCAAGCCUACGCUCUGAAUACAUUAGCAUGGAAUAACACGAUAGGACUCUGGCUUAUCUUGUUGGUCUGUGAGACCAGAGUAAUGAUUAAGAGGGACAGUCGGGGGCAUUCGUAUUUCAUUGUCAGAGGUGAGAUUCUUGGAUUUAUGAAAGACGAACUUCUGCGAAAGCAUUUGUCAAGGAUGUUUUCAUUAA
rnacentral:rRNA from 1 species